GACGAACGCUGGCGGCGUGCUUAACACAUGCAAGUCGAACGGAAAGGCCCUGCUUUUGUGGGGUGCUCGAGUGGCGACAGGGUGAGUAACACGUGAGUAACCUGCCCUUGACUUUGGGAUAACUUCAGGAAACUGGGGCUAAUACCGGAUAGGAGCUCCUGCUGCAUGGUGGGGGUUGGAAAGUUUCGGCGGUUGGGGAUGGACUCGCGGCUUAUCAGCUUGUUGGUGGGGUAGUGGCUUACCAAGGCUUUGACGGGUAGCCGGCCUGAGAGGGUGACCGGCCACAUUGGGACUGAGAUACGGCCCAGACUCCUACGGGAGGCAGAAGUGGGGAAUAUUGCACAAUGGGCGGAAGCCUGAUGCAGCAACGCCGCGUGCGGGAUGACGGCCUUCGGGUUGUAAACCGCUUUCGCCUGUGACGAAGCGUGAGUGACGGUAAUGGGUAAAGAAGCACCGGCUAACUACGUG
rnacentral:rRNA from 1 species